AAGCCGAGGAUUGUGCUCAGUGGCGAGCAA
rnacentral:sRNA from 1 species